rnacentral:rRNA from 1 species
UACGGGGGGGCAAGCGUUGUUCGGAAUUACUGGGCGUAAAGGCUCGUAGGUGGCCAACUAAGUCAGACGUGAAAUCCCUCAGCUUAACUGGGAACUGCGUCUGAUACUGGAUGGCUUGAGUUUGGAGAGGGAUGCGGAAUUCCAGGUGUAGCGGUGAAAUGCGUAGAUAUCUGGAGGAACACCGGUGGCGAAGGCGGCAUCCUGGACCAAUACUGACACUGAGGCACGAAAGCUGGGGAGCGAACAGG